CCUACGGGGGGCAGCAGUGGGGAAUAUUGGACAAUGGGGGCAACCCUGAUCCAGCCAUGCCGCGUGUGUGAAGAAGGCCCUCGGGUUGUAAAGCACUUUCAGUGAGGAAGAACGCCUGGUGGUUAAUACCCAUCAGGAAAGACAUCACUCACAGAAGAAGCACCGGCUAACUCCGUGCCAGCAGCCGCGGUAAUACGGAGGGUGCGAGCGUUAAUCGGAAUUACUGGGCGUAAAGCGCGCGUAGGUGGCUUGAUAAGCCGGUUGUGAAAGCCCCGGGCUCAACCUGGGAACGGCAUCCGGAACUGUCAAGCUAGAGUGCAGGAGAGGAAGGUAGAAUUCCCGGUGUAGCGGUGAAAUGCGUAGAGAUCGGGAGGAAUACCAGUGGCGAAGGCGGCCUUCUGGACUGACACUGACACUGAGGUGCGAAAGUGUGGGUAGCAAACAGGAUUAGAUACCCGUGUAGUC
rnacentral:rRNA from 1 species